AUAUAAUAUGAAGCGAUAACUCUUCGAAUUGUUCGCUUCUCGAAUUGUUAUACAUUGCAGCUUUGUAUAGCCAAAACAUAGCACUGUUAGUGUAGUCGUGCCUUGCGAAGCCUAUAUAAAGUAUUGUUAUUAUAAAAUUACUUUAGUCAAAGACUGACAUGUGUGGAGUCGAUUCAGAGCGAAGACUAAUUAUUAAGCUAAAAUGCCAUUUGGAUUCAUAAUUAUCACGGGACUACUGGCUUUUGGAGCGUACUGGACGACGAAAUACUUGAUGACCAUGCCUGAUGCAGCACAUUCUAUGCAACAGACAACGACGACCAUGACAAUACCGACAGCUCUACCGCUGUAGCGGUUACCAAAGCAACGGUAUCAACAAGACAUAAACGCCAUAAAUUAGCAUUUAAAUCAAUAGCUAUAGAGAAUUAUUUGCAAUGUCAUAGGAUACAAGUUUAAUUAUUAUAUUUUUUUAAUAAAUUUUUGUGAUGUA